rnacentral:rRNA from 1 species
GACGAACGCUGGCGGCGUGCUUAACACAUGCAAGUCGAACGGAAAGGCCCUGCUUUUGUGGGGUGCUCGAGUGGCGAACGGGUGAGUAACACGUGAGUAACCUGCCCUUGACUUUGGGAUAACUUCAGGAAACUGGGGCUAAUACCGGAUAUGAGCUCCUUCUGCAUGGUGGGUGUUGGAAAGUUUCGGCGGUUGGGGAUGGACUCGCGGCUUAUCAGCUUGUUGGUGGGGUAGUGGCUUACCAAGGCUUUGACGGGUAGCCGGCCUGAGAGGGUGACCGGCCACAUUGGGACUGAGAUACGGCCCAGACUCCUACGGGAGGAAGCAGUGGGGAAUAUUGCACAAUGGGCGGAAGCAUGAUGCAGCAACGCCGCGUGCGGGAUGACGGCCUUCGGGUUGUAAACCGCUUUCGCCUGUGACGAAGCGUGAGUGACGGUAAUGGGUAAAGAAGCACCGGCUAACUACGUG